rnacentral:rRNA from 1 species
GACGAACUUUGGCGGCGUGCUUAACACAUGCAAGUCGAACGGAAAGGCCCUGCUUUUGUGGGGUGCUCGAGUGGCGAACGGGUGAGUAACACGUGAGUAACCUGCCCUUGACUUUGGGAUAACUUCAGGAAACUGGGGCUAAUACCGGAUAGGAGCUCCUGCUGCAUGGUGGGGGUUGGAAAGUUUCGGCGGUUGGGGAUGGACUCGCGGCUUAUCAGCUUGUUGGUGGGGUAGUGGCUUACCAAGGCUUUGACGGGUAGCCGGCCUGAGAGGGUGACCGGCCACAUUGGGACUGAGAUACGGCCCAGACUCCUACGGGAGGCAGCAGUGGGGAAUAUUGCACAAUGGGCGGAAGCCUGAUGCAGCAACGCCGCGUGCGGGAUGACGGCCUUCGGGUUGUAAACCGCUUUCGCCUGUGACGAAGCGUGAGUGACGGUAAUGGGUAAAGAAGCACCGGCUAACUACGUGCCAGCAGCCGCGGUGAUACGUAGGGUGCGAGCGUUGUCCGGAUUUAUUGGGCGUAAAGGGCUCGUAGGUGGUUGAUCGCGUCGGAAGUGUAAUCUUGGGGCUUAACCCUGAGCGUGCUUUCGAUACGGGUUGACUUGAGGAAGGUAGGGGAGAAUGGAAUUCCUGGUGGAGCGGUGGAAUGCGCAGAUAUCAGGAGGAACACCAGUGGCGAAGGCGGUUCUCUGGGCCUUUCCUGACGCUGAGGAGCGAAAGCGUGGGGAGCGAACAGGCUUAGAUACCCUGGUAGUCCACGCUGUAAACGGUGGGUACUAGGUGUGAGGUCCAUUCCACGGGUUCCGUGCCGUAGCUAACGCUUUAAGUACCCCGCCUGGGGAGUACGGCCGCAAGGCUAAAACUCAAAGGAAUUGACGGGGCCCCGCACAAGCGGCGGAGCAUGCGGAUUAAUUCGAUGCAACGCGUAGAACCUUACCUGGGUUUGACAUGGAUCGGGAGUGCUCAGAGAUGGGUGUGCCUCUUUUGGGGUCGGUUCACAGGUGGUGCAUGGCUGUCGUCAGCUCGUGUCGUGAGAUGUUGGGUUAAGUCCCGCAACGAGCGCAACCCUUGUUCACUGUUGCCAGCACGUUAUGGUGGGGACUCAGUGGAGACCGCCGGGGUCAACUCGGAGGAAGGUGGGGAUGACGUCAAGUCAUCAUGCCCCUUAUGUCCAGGGCUUCACGCAUGCUACAAUGGCUGGUACAGAGAGUGGCGAGCCUGUGAGGGUGAGCGAAUCUCGGAAAGCCGGUCUCAGUUCGGAUUGGGGUCUGCAACUCGACCUCAUGAAGUCGGAGUCGCUAGUAAUCGCAGAUCAGCAACGCUGCGGUGAAUACGUUCCCGGGGCU